UACGGAGGGGGCUAGCGUUGUUCGGAAUUACUGGGCGUAAAGCGCACGUAGGCGGCUUUGUAAGUUAGAGGUGAAAGCCCGGGGCUCAACUCCGGAAUUGCCUUUAAGACUGCAUCGCUAGAAUUGUGGAGAGGUAAGUGGAAUUCCGAGUGUAGAGGUGAAAUUCGUAGAUAUUCGGAAGAACACCAGUGGCGAAGGCGGCUUACUGGACAGAUAUUGACGCUGAGGUGCGAAAGCGUGGGGAGCAAACAGG
rnacentral:rRNA from 1 species